UACGGGGGGUGCAAGCGUUAUCCGGAUUCACUGGGUUUAAAGGGUGCGUAGGUGGGUUUGUAAGUCAGUGGUGAAAUCUCCAAGCUUAACUUGGAAACUGCCGUUGAUACUAUAAAUCUUGAAUGUUGUGGAGGUGAGCGGAAUAUGUCAUGUAGCGGUGAAAUGCUUAGAUAUGACAUAGAACACCAAUUGCGAAGGCAGCUCACUACACAAAGAUUGACACUGAGGCACGAAAGCGUGGGGAUCAAACAGG
rnacentral:rRNA from 1 species